rnacentral:ncRNA from 2 species
UACCACUUGUCGGAGUGCCCAACUGGGCUGAGACCGUUAAUUCGGGAUCCGUUGAACCUGAUCAGGUUAGCACCUGCGAAGGAAACAAGCUGAACGUUAUU